GAAGAGCAAAUGGCAAUCAUUGGGUAGAGGGGUGAGAGGCUGGUAGGGAGUGAGACACAGGAUACCUGUUUUCCCUGUGCUCCCAUGAAUGGAUGUUCUAAAUGAACAAGGUAAUUGAUGAAAACUACCUCAACACUGAAUAAACUAUGCAAAUGUCCAGGUGUGGACCAAGGCACUCGACUCACUGGUGCUUCUAAACAUCUGCACUACCCAUCUGCCUCCAAGACCGGCUUCUGUACUGGGAUCUUACACACAGACACACACACACACACACACAGAAACCUUAGCCUCCUCCUCCACCACCACUAUGGUCACCAUGAGCAGAGGUUAUGGCUACUGGUCUUGUUCACGUGUGGAGUUAUGGCUAAAAUGUGUUUAGUUUUACAAUGGAAAUGUCAAUACUGGCUGCUGUCCAGCACUGAAUGAAUUGAAAUGAGGUGCUUAUUAAUAUAAUAGUGUUUAAUGAUUUUUUUGGGUGACUAUAAUAGGAAUUAAUGUUCAGUACAACAAUCACUUAUUAAUUAUGUAAUACAGGGCUGCAACAAUUAUUGUCAUUAUUGGUUUUGGUGAGUCUAAAAGAAGCUAAUAGCUAAAAGACAAACAAAUAAAAUAGAGGUUAGAAAUCAGGCAUCUCACAUAAGAAGCAGAUGGUCACAGAAACAGCCACUUAUUAACUUAUUUUGGAUCAACUGGUUAGUUUGUAGUUGUUGCAGCUGUAGUUUAAUGUCACAUUUGGUAAUGGAUUGAAACAUGUAGUCUGCCUUUUUUAGAGCCAGAUCUCAUCGUUCGCCACGUUCUCUUCAGACCAGUUCAGCUGAACUUUGCUCAGACUCCAUGCAGCUUUGCCUUUCUGCAUGGAUGUGCUCUCUUCUCUCUCUUCUUACUUAAUUGUGUAUCAAAUUUUAAGUAUCAAAAUGAGGAAGGUAAUAUUUUGGUCUGAUUUCACACUGGAUAAGAUGUAGUUACUCAUGUAGCAUAAGAAUCAUAAGCCCUGGCUCGUUGUUAUAGAGUCCCUUCACAUGUCAUGAUGAACUCAACAGUUACAGUAGAAAUCAAUAUAAUACUCACUUUUAGAACUAAAAUUAAACUAUCCUGACAGAUGAAAAAAUGUCCACUCUUGUAAUCUCAUAUCAUGCACUUAAUGUUUCCAUGGAAAUUACUGCUUUCUUCAGAAGGAGAUCUAGCUUUGUGGUUAAAUUGAUCCCACUUUUUAUUUUCAACAGUAGUUUAGAACCAGACUUGUGUUAAGUCAGUGGGCUUCAUUUUAAAAAUGUGGCCCAUUAGCAGCGUGUAAAGGGGGCCGAUAGUUCACAGAAUGGCUACAUACACAAUAAUCUAUCAUAACCCCCAAUAAAUUAAAUAACAUGGUGCUCAGUGGAGACUCUGGUAAAGAAUCCAAAAGUGGCUGCACUGUCAAUAACAUUUUGUGAAGAUAAAUCCAGGUGUAAAUGAAUCACAGCAAAACCACAACACAUUUGUAUUUAUUGAUACUUUUUUCUUCUCAAGUCAGUUUAAUAGAUCACACUACUACAUUGGACCUCAGCAGACACAUUCAUCGAGCAGGAGUUUGUUCUUAAACUUAGUUAAGUUAUAUUUAUCUCUGCUGUUGGCAAAUGCAGGUUUAAGCAAAUGGUUGAAACUAAAAUAUGGACACAUGUAUGUGCAACAUUUAACUGCAUUGAGUUAAUCCAAACACACGCACACAUACGCCGUCAUGCAUGCAAAUCCUCACACACUGGGAAAACAUAACCAUAACCACAAAAAAAAACUACUGGUCUCUUUUCACACCUUUUUGUUUGCUUUUGUGUAAAUUUGUCUUCAGUUUUUAUUUUGUUUUUUUGUUUGUUUUUGUAAACAAUGUUUGUACUGUGAAUGUGAUUGAUUCUCCAACUGUAUAGUUGUGUAUAAUUUAGAUUAUUAUAUUUAUGCUGUCAGUCUUGCUUUGGUAUGUUUUUCUUUUUUUUUUUUAAUCCUAAAAUAUGUUGACAUUGUAGAAUGCAAUAGUGUGUGUACUUGACUCACAGUCUGAAAACAAUGGUGCUAAAUUUGGACUGUGCCUGACCUUAUUUAUUCUGUAGUAAAAACAUCAAAAUCCAAUCGAAUACUUGGUGCUGUACACAGGGACAUUUGUAAAGCCGUUUUGGCCUUUGUUCUUUCUCCUAUAUUUAAUAUGCUGUUGUCUGGUUCUGUGAAUGCCUCGUGUACAACUUCACUGUAGACACCACCUUUCCAUAAACCUACAGCUGGUUCAGAGUCUGUGCAGACAGCUAUAAGGGGCCGCCGAUGGUGUUUAUCAUCUGUCAGCUCACUUUGCUUAUCUGAGCAGUCUGUAAGUGAACAAGACACACUGUUUUUGUACAGAAGUUUUUGUUAUCCUUUGUAAUUCUCCCCAUCAUAAGGAAAUGGUAUAAGAAAUAUGUAUCUAUACAUAGUCUAUACACAUAUAAAUGAAUAUAUAUGAAUAUGUAUUAAGUGAAAGGGUUGUUUUGGUGCUGGCAUUGUGACCCUUAAAUUCAACCUGUUCAAUGGGAGGCUUGAAGCCAAGGAAAGCCAAGCUUUGCCACCGCAGGACCUUAACAGGUGGCGCCAGUGAGGUGGCAGCAGCUCAACCUUAUUCUAUACACACCACAGAAAUAGAAACUGUGUAUUUCACACAUCACACAGAGGUGCUAUGCUGCAAACUCCACUAGAUUCCAGCACUAGAAUAGUUAACACUUUUAUCAGAUGUUUUCAUGUCUUUGUUUCUUUUUUUUAACUUCCCAGAUUCAGCAGGAAAAAAAUGGUGCUUCUGUUUCUAAACAACGGCUAUUCAGACUAAAUCUGUACUGGUGCAUACACAACUACUUGUCAACCUCCUUAUACACACUGUUUGUCUUUGGAUGUCUUACUGAAAUCGCGGCACCUUGUAAUGUGAGCAAAUUGUGUAUUUGUAGUUUCAAGAUGAUGUAAAGCACUCGCUUUGGGUGUAUGUGCGCAUUACUUUGGGAGUGAGAGCAGCCAAGGGUUUUUUUUUUUUUUUCCUUUUUUUCCUCGAUAGUGGGAAUACACUUAAGCUCUGUUUGUGUGUGUGUGCAUUUUCCACUUUUUCCAGUGCGUGUCCAAGGGAAUAAUAGACUAAUUAUCAAAGCUUUAUAGAAAAAGUCAUGUCCUGUGCACUCACUCUGUAAACAAAUUGUUUCUCAUUUGCAAGUGUUUUAAGUGAACAGAUUGAUUUAUUCAUUUUAGGGCAGAAUUAGAGACAGUAGACCGUUUAUUACCAGCACUGAGAGGACUUUUGUAAUUAUUGUUAAUGCUAUUUAAAAUUUUUUUACUCUUGGUGUUUGAUACAAUUGCAGUUAAAUGUCACGCUUUUAAUUGUGUCUUCAGACUCCUGUCAGUUUUUAAUACUUCUAGUCAGACAGCACGGUGCUCUCCUUCACUUAAAACAAGGAAAUUGCAGCUAUUGAUCUAUAAAUACUACUCUUCCACUGUUGUAGUAUUGGGUGUGUUUGGUUUGAUGUUUGUGCCGGUGAGAAUGAGUGUCCUGUUGAGUCAUUGACAGGGAUGAGGCAGUGUCAUUCAGGUCCUUUGGUGUGUGAGCAUGAAUAGUCCAGCGUGCUCCAUCCUGGUACAUUAUUGGUAAUCUGUGAGAGCUUUGCAGUCGAGGCUGUUUACUCUAAAUCCUGCCAAAGGUCUGAACUCAGGAACUCCCCAGAUUGCUUGAAGCUAUAUGAAUAAUUUGUCUUAAGCUGCUACAUGUCAUAAAUUUAGUACUAUCUUGUGGCACAACAGAAAAAAACCAGUCCCUUUCUAACCCAACUCAGGACCAGGACAACCCUCAGAUGGUGUAUUUCAGCCUGAUUCUUGUCCUCAUCCAUCUGCCUUCUCUGAUCUCCACAGGAUUCAUUCUCACCGUCAAAAACAUCCUGCGUCUCCAGCAAAAUCCAGCUUUAUAAAGCUUUACAAGAGUCAGUCUGAUCACGACAAGCUGUGAAAUGGCGACGACUUUCAGCAUCUUCCUCAUCUCACAAAUGCCUCUGUCUAGAUUCAUGGAGGGUCAGUGUCCUUCGUUGGGGUCCCUCCUCCUCCUCCUCUUACGAUGAAGGAUGGGGUCUCAGGGAGACCAACGCUGGACUCUGGACCUUUAGUAUGGUGAUCUCUGAUCGGUGAAGUCAGGGCAGGGUUUGGGGUGCAAUAAAACAGCAAACCUACUUUCCAAAACGCCCUGGAUUUUCAUGGAAAAAAUUGUUACUGUUCGGUGUUGGUGCUUUUAUCCUAAGAUGUUAUAAUGACAAAUGGAAUUAAUGUUUUUUUUUUCUGCGUUUUAUGAUUAUUAAUAAAAAUGUUUCAUAUAA